AUUUUACCUGUUGUAGUUUCCACGAAAAUAAAAAGGAAGCAUUACUUUUGGAGAAAAAGCACAUGGCCCGUGACAACUUGUCUUCAUUCAGUGUGGUGUAAAUGGGUUGGACGCUGGUGUGAUACACCAUCUGUACCAUAACCUGUUCCCUCAGGUCCUGGGUGCCUUUCUUGAGGGCAGUCCAUUGGACUGGGUAACAUGCCAGGUGAGAGAACACCUGAAGAGAAACUUUCCCUCAGAACUCAGUCAUUUGUGCUACUGAUACGUCCUAUUUGGGCAUAGCCCAUUGGUGGGAGCAGCAAAUACUCUGUACCCAUAAUUGUGUCUGCUCCAUAGCCUUAUUUUGUACCAUUGCUACAAUGAGAAAGAAAGUAGCCAAGCAGAGAAUGAAAGGAAUGUAGCAGAGGAGCAGUGCAAAGCACAGAGAUUAGGUGAGCAUUUCCCAGCAGGCUGUGUGAAAAAGUUAAAAAAUACAAGCCUCUCUACAAAACAAAUAAAUAAUAUCCUUCAUCUGUCAGGUGCCCUUUUCCCUUAGUAACAAUAUCUCUGAGCUCAGGGGUUUCUGCUGUGGGGGCAGAGGGGGGAGGUGUGAUGGAGAAGAAUUCCUUUAAAAUAUAUAUUUAUUUCAGUUAUGUUUGUGGAUCCAUUCAACUCAGGAAGGAGCACUUAAAGCACAACUGACUGUUAAAAGGAACACUGAAAGUGAAGGACUGAUUUCCCCGCAGCCAGCUGUGCCAGGUGCCGGGCUGUGAUGGGAGCAGCUGUGGGGCUGCUCUGCACUGAGGGGCGGGCGGCAACGGGACCCACAGGUGACCGUCAGGUGAGCGCGGGCUGGUGCCUCAGCUGGAAAGGGCGGGAACGCUGAGAGGGGAGAGAAAGAGGCGGGAAGAAAAGCGGCGGGAAGCGCCUGUGGUAUUCUGGGUUCUGAUUGGUUCUUCAGGGACAGCUAUAAAAGGUGCGUGCGCGGGCAGGUGCGUGAGGCGUUUUCCUCAGCGUGUGAGAAGGCGCUGGGUGCUGUGAGGGAAAGGCGGCGGAGGAGGCACGGGCGGCAAGCGGUCUCCAGAACCGAGGAGCUGCUGCAGAAGAAAGAAGAGGCGGCGUGGGGGACCUGGAGGCAGGAGCGAGCAAGAAGAGGAAGCCGAAGCGUGCAGACGCGGGGGGGAAGGAGAAAGGCACUCUGGGCAAAGCACCUGUCCCGUUAGCGGGGGCAUAGUCACAUUUGAGUCGAGCGUUGCCGGCGCCAUAGGUGUCCAGGCCGGCUUUGUGCUGGGCGACCUCCCUGUAAGCAGGGCUCGGGUCUUUUGCUGUAGUUGGCCUUUUGCCUUGCUGCUCCUUGGCUGCCUGGGGAGCGUGGCCCCCUGUAACGGAGGGCGAGAGCCACCUCUCCGCACCUGAGUGGGAAACGGAGCCCGCCGGACCCCGCGGCAACCCUGUAAUCAGGGUAGUGCCGCUUCCCUGCCCCUCUUCCUGCCCCGGCCCCUCGGCAUUGUUGCCUGGAGGUGGCCUGUCAAUGCGACGGCCCCGUACUCGGGGUGUGCGUCAGGGCGUUUGGCCCUUGUCUAUAGCUGGGAAGCCCCUUGGCACGUUGAGGUCCGUGGCCUCCGUGCAGCCCUGGGACAGGUCACAGGCUCU